GACGAACGCUGGCGGCGUGCUUAACACAUGCAAGUCGAGCGGUAAGGCCCUUUCGGGGGUACACGAGCGGCGAACGGGUGAGUAACACGUGGGUGACCUGCCCUCAGCUCUGGGAUAAGCCUGGGAAACCGGGUCUAAUACUGGAUAUGACUCCAUGACGCAUGUUGUGGGGUGGAAAGCCUUGUGCGGCUGAGGAUGGGCCCGCGGCCUAUCAGCUUGUUGGUGGGGUGANGGCCUACCAAGGCGACGACGGGUAGCCGGCCUGAGAGGGCGACCGGCCACACUGGGACUGAGACACGGCCCAGACUCCUACGGGAGGCAGCAGUGGGAAUCUUGCGCAAUGGGGCGAAAGCCUGACGGCAGCGACGCCGCGUGAGGGAUGACGGCCU
rnacentral:rRNA from 1 species